GGUUAAGCGACUAAGCGUACACGGUGGAUGCCCUGGCAGUCAGAGGCGAUGAAGGACGUGCUAAUCUGCGAUAAGCGUCGGUGAGGUGAUAUGAACCGUUAUAACCGGCGAUUUCCGAAUGGGGAAACCCAGUGUGUUUCGACACACUAUCAUUAACUGAAUCCAUAGGUUAAUGAGGCGAACCGGGGGAACUGAAACAUCUAAGUACCCCGAGGAAAAGAAAUCAACCGAGAUUCCCCCAGUAGCGGCGAGCGAACGGGGAGGAGCCCAGAGCCUGAAUCAGUGUGUGUGUUAGUGGAAGCGUCUGGAAAGGCGCGCGAUACAGGGUGACAGCCCCGUACACAAAAAUGCACAUAUUGUGAGCUCGAUGAGUAGGGCGGGACACGUGGUAUCCUGUCUGAAUAUGGGGGGACCAUCCUCCAAGGCUAAAUACUCCUGACUGACCGAUAGUGAACCAGUACCGUGAGGGAAAGGCGAAAAGAACCCCGGCGAGGGGAGUGAAAAAGAACCUGAAACCGUGUACGUACAAGCAGUGGGAGCCUCUUUAUGGGGUGACUGCGUACCUUUUGUAUAAUGGGUCAGCGACUUAUAUUCUGUAGCAAGGUUAACCGAAUAGGGGAGCCGAAGGGAAACCGAGUCUUAACUGGGCGUUAAGUUGCAGGGUAUAGACCCGAAACCCGGUGAUCUAGCCAUGGGCAGGUUGAAGGUUGGGUAACACUAACUGGAGGACCGAACCGACUAAUGUUGAAAAAUUAGCGGAUGACUUGUGGCUGGGGGUGAAAGGCCAAUCAAACCGGGAGAUAGCUGGUUCUCCCCGAAAGCUAUUUAGGUAGCGCCUCGUGAAUUCAUCUCCGGGGGUAGAGCACUGUUUCGGCAAGGGGGUCAUCCCGACUUACCAACCCGAUGCAAACUGCGAAUACCGGAGAAUGUUAUCACGGGAGACACACGGCGGGUGCUAACGUCCGUCGUGAAGAGGGAAACAACCCAGACCGCCAGCUAAGGUCCCAAAGUCAUGGUUAAGUGGGAAACGAUGUGGGAAGGCCCAGACAGCCAGGAUGUUGGCUUAGAAGCAGCCAUCAUUUAAAGAAAGCGUAAUAGCUCACUGGUCGAGUCGGCCUGCGCGGAAGAUGUAACGGGGCUAAACCAUGCACCGAAGCUGCGGCAGCGACACUAUGUGUUGUUGGGUAGGGGAGCGUUCUGUAAGCCUGUGAAGGUGGCCUGUGAGGGUUGCUGGAGGUAUCAGAAGUGCGAAUGCUGACAUAAGUAACGAUAAAGCGGGUGAAAAGCCCGCUCGCCGGAAGACCAAGGGUUCCUGUCCAACGUUAAUCGGGGCAGGGUGAGUCGACCCCUAAGGCGAGGCCGAAAGGCGUAGUCGAUGGGAAACAGGUUAAUAUUCCUGUACUUGGUGUUACUGCGAAGGGGGGACGGAGAAGGCUAUGUUGGCCGGGCGACGGUUGUCCCGGUUUAAGCGUGUAGGCUGGUUUUCCAGGCAAAUCCGGAAAACCAAGGCUGAGGCGUGAUGACGAGGCACUACGGUGCUGAAGCGACAAAUGCCCUGCUUCCAGGAAAAGCCUCUAAGCAUCAGGUAACAUCAAAUCGUACCCCAAACCGACACAGGUGGUCAGGUAGAGAAUACCAAGGCGCUUGAGAGAACUCGGGUGAAGGAACUAGGCAAAAUGGUGCCGUAACUUCGGGAGAAGGCACGCUGAUAUGUAGGUGAAGCGACUUGCUCGUGGAGCUGAAAUCAGUCGAAGAUACCAGCUGGCUGCAACUGUUUAUUAAAAACACAGCACUGUGCAAACACGAAAGUGGACGUAUACGGUGUGACGCCUGCCCGGUGCCGGAAGGUUAAUUGAUGGGGUUAGCGGUAACGCGAAGCUCUUGAUCGAAGCCCCGGUAAACGGCGGCCGUAACUAUAACGGUCCUAAGGUAGCGAAAUUCCUUGUCGGGUAAGUUCCGACCUGCACGAAUGGCGUAAUGAUGGCCAGGCUGUCUCCACCCGAGACUCAGUGAAAUUGAACUCGCUGUGAAGAUGCAGUGUACCCGCGGCAAGACGGAAAGACCCCGUGAACCUUUACUAUAGCUUGACACUGAACAUUGAGCCUUGAUGUGUAGGAUAGGUGGGAGGCUUUGAAGUGUGGACGCCAGUCUGCAUGGAGCCGACCUUGAAAUACCACCCUUUAAUGUUUGAUGUUCUAACGUUGGCCCGUAAUCCGGGUUGCGGACAGUGUCUGGUGGGUAGUUUGACUGGGGCGGUCUCCUCCUAAAGAGUAACGGAGGAGCACGAAGGUUGGCUAAUCCUGGUCGGACAUCAGGAGGUUAGUGCAAUGGCAUAAGCCAGCUUGACUGCGAGCGUGACGGCGCGAGCAGGUGCGAAAGCAGGUCAUAGUGAUCCGGUGGUUCUGAAUGGAAGGGCCAUCGCUCAACGGAUAAAAGGUACUCCGGGGAUAACAGGCUGAUACCGCCCAAGAGUUCAUAUCGACGGCGGUGUUUGGCACCUCGAUGUCGGCUCAUCACAUCCUGGGGCUGAAGUAGGUCCCAAGGGUAUGGCUGUUCGCCAUUUAAAGUGGUACGCGAGCUGGGUUUAGAACGUCGUGAGACAGUUCGGUCCCUAUCUGCCGUGGGCGCUGGAGAACUGAGGGGGGCUGCUCCUAGUACGAGAGGACCGGAGUGGACGCAUCACUGGUGUUCGGGUUGUCAUGCCAAUGGCACUGCCCGGUAGCUAAAUGCGGAAGAGAUAAGUGCUGAAAGCAUCUAAGCACGAAACUUGCCCCGAGAUGAGUUCUCCCUGAGACUUAGAGUCUCCUGAAGGAACGUUGAAGACGACGACGUUGAUAGGCCGGGUGUGUAAGCGCAGCGAUGCGUUGAGCUAACCGGUACUAAUGAACCGUGAGGCUUAACCUUACAACGCCGAAG
rnacentral:rRNA from 1 species